AUUGAACGCUGGCGGCAGGCCUAACACAUGCAAGUCGAACGAGUGGCGGACGGGUGAGUAAUGUCUGGGAAACUGCCUGAUGGAGGGGGAUAACUACUGGAAACGGUAGCUAAUCCCGCAUACCAUCAGAUGUGCCCAGAUGGGAUUAGCUAGGAGGUGGGGUAAAGGCUCACAUAGGCGACGAUCCCUCGCUGGUCUGAGAGGAUGACCAGCCACACUGGAAGUGGGAAACGGUCGAGACUCCUACGGAGGGAAGCAGUGGGGAAGAUUGCACAAUGGGCGAAAGCCGGAUGCAGCGAUGCCGCGGGUAUGAAGAAGGCAUUAGGGUUGUAAAGUACUUUCAGCGGGGAGGCGUUACCCGCAGAAGAAGCACCGGCUAACUCCGUGCCAGCAGCCGCGGUAAUUC
rnacentral:rRNA from 1 species